rnacentral:tRNA from 1 species
GCUCCAGUGGCGCAAUCGGUUAGCGCGCGGUACUUAUAUGUCAGUGCUAGGCGUAAGCGAUGCCGAGGUUGUGAGUUCGAUCCUCACCUGGAGCA